UGUUUUCUUUGUCUUUAUAUUUCAGCUUUUAUUUCUCAGAAACAAUGUCUUUGUUUGUUUGACAGUUUGUCAGUCGAGAGAAUAUUAUGUACUCUCUUUAUUGGCUUGGCACAACUUAGCAGCAAGCCCAGAAUGAAAAACAGGUAGAGAGAAAAUUUAGAAGAGAGAAUAGACAGAGCAGGAGAGACAUGGCUGGGAAAUCACAAUCAAACCGUGAAUUAGAGUUUUCUUUAUUUGUUCAGUUUGUUCUCAGGUAGAGGCAAUAUGCACUCUUUAUUGCUUUAAUGGCUUGGCAUUUUUCAGCAGCAAGCCAAGAGUGAAAAACAGGUAGAGAGAAAAUUUAGAAGAGAGAAUAGACAGAGCAGGAGAGACACGGCUGGGAAAUGACAAUCAAACCGUGAAUUAGAGUUUUCUUUAUUUGUUCAGUUUGUUCUCAGGUAGAGGCAAUAUGCACUCUUUAUUGCUUUAAUGGCUUGGCAUUUUUCAGCAGCAAGCCAAGAGUGAAAAACAGGUAGAGAGAAAAUUUAGCAGAGAGAACAGGCAGAGCAGGAGAGACACGGCUUGGAAAUCAAACCGCAGAGUUUUCUUUGUUCAGUUUGUUCAAAGGUUGAGGCAAAAUAUGCACUCUUUAUUGCUUUAUUGGCUUGUGCAUUUCUCAGCAGCAAGCCAAAGAGUGAAAAACAGGUAGAGAGAAAAUUUAGCAGAGAGAACAGAGAGAGCAGGAAAGACACGGUUUUGAAAUCAAACCGUAGAGUUUUCUUUGUUUGUUCAGUUUGUUCAAAGGUUGAGGCAAAAUAUGCACUCUUUAUUGCUUUAUUGGCUUGUGCAUUUCUCAGCAGCAAGCCAAAGAGUGAAAAACAGGUAGAGAGAAAAUUUAGCAGAGAGAACAGACAGAGCAGGAGAGACACGGUUUUGAAAUCAAACCGCAAUAAGAUUCUUGGUUUGGCAAAAUUUCUCACAAACCACAGGGUGAAAUACAGAUGGAAAGAAGGCAGAGACAACAGGUGGAGCAGGACAGAGGAUAGAGGGGAUGGGGGGUUGGGAUGUGACAGAGAAGACUGGAGAUCUGGUCCUUGUUCUUCUGCACACUGUGAACAAAAAAGAAGAAAAAAAUAAUAAUUUUAUUAAAAUUAUAUCACAUGGUAAUUGUAUGAACUAAUUGUGACUACUGAAAAAGGACAAAACAAAUAUUGAAGCUAAACUGUUGUUGGCUGCCAUGUGCAAAAAGUUGCAUAAUUGGGCACUUUUUAAAAGAAUAUUUAUUUAAAUUCAGCAAUAAUAUUUUUAAUACAAAUAUGAUUGAGUGAAUCAUUA
ensembl:lncRNA